AGAGUUUGAUCAUGGCUCAGAUUGAACGCUGGCGGCAGGCUUAACACAUGCAAGUCGAGCGGUAACAGGGGGAGCUUGCUCCCUGCUGACGAGCGGCGGACGGGUGAGUAAUGCAUAGGAAUCUGCCCAGUAGUGGGGGAUAGCCCGGGGAAACCCGGAUUAAUACCGCAUACGCCCUACGGGGGAAAGCAGGGGAUCUUCGGACCUUGCGCUAUUGGAUGAGCCUAUGUCGGAUUAGCUAGUUGGUGGGGUAAAGGCCUACCAAGGCGACGAUCCGUAGCUGGUCUGAGAGGAUGAUCAGCCACAUCGGGACUGAGACACGGCCCGAACUCCUACGGGAGGCAGCAGUGGGGAAUAUUGGACAAUGGGCGCAAGCCUGAUCCAGCCAUGCCGCGUGUGUGAAGAAGGCCUUCGGGUUGUAAAGCACUUUCAGUAGGGAGGAAAACCUGAUGGUUAAUACCCAUUGGGCUUGACGUUACCUACAGAAGAAGCACCGGCUAACUCCGUGCCAGCAGCCGCGGUAAUACGGAGGGUGCGAGCGUUAAUCGGAAUUACUGGGCGUAAAGCGCGCGUAGGCGGUUUGGUAAGCGAGAUGUGAAAUCCCCGGGCUUAACCUGGGAACUGCAUUUCGAACUGCCAGGCUAGAGUAUGGUAGAGGGUAGUGGAAUUUCCUGUGUAGCGGUGAAAUGCGUAGAUAUAGGAAGGAACACCAGUGGCGAAGGCGGCUACCUGGACCAAUACUGACGCUGAGGUGCGAAAGCGUGGGGAGCAAACAGGAUUAGAUACCCUGGUAGUCCACGCCGUAAACGAUGUCUACUAGCCGUUGGUGCCCUUCGUGGUGCUGGUGGCGCAGCUAACGCAAUAAGUAGACCGCCUGGGGAGUACGGCCGCAAGGUUAAAACUCAAAUGAAUUGACGGGGGCCCGCACAAGCGGUGGAGCAUGUGGUUUAAUUCGA
rnacentral:rRNA from 1 species